rnacentral:rRNA from 1 species
AUGGAGGUAGAGCAAUGGCUUCACAUGGCCAACGGCGACGGAGAGAACAGCUACGCCAGCAACUCCAGACUCCAAGAGAAGGCCAUGCUUGAGACCAGGCCGGUGCUCCAGGGCGCCGUGGUGGAACUGUACAGGUCACUGCCGGCCAGGAGCACCAUGGUCGUCGCCGACCUCGGCUGCUCGUCAGGGCCGAACACGCUGCUGCUUGUGUCGUUGGUCAUCGGCACAAUCUCCGACCACAACCGGGAGGCAGAGCAGGAGCAGCCCAUGGAGUUGCAGUUCUUCCUCAACGACCUGCCGGGGAACGACUUCAACCUCGUCUUCAGGUCGCUGGAUCGGCUGCAGAAGCUCACCGCCGAUAGGAGGCCUCAGUACUACGUGGCCGGGAUGCCGGGUUCUUUCUACACCAGGCUGUUCCCAUGCCGGAGUGUCCACCUCUUCCACUCCUCCUACUCCCUCAUGUGGAGGUCCAAGGUACCGGAUGAGCUUUCAAGAGGUGCUUACCUGAAUGAAGAGAGCAUCUACAUUGGCAAGAGUACUCCACCUGCUGUGAUAAAACUAUACCAAGAAGAGUACCAAAAGGACCUGUCAUUGUUCCUGACGCUGCGGUUCAAUGAACUUGUAUGUGGUGGGCAUAUGGUGCUAACAUUUCUAGGCAGAAAGAGCAAAGACAUGUUGUUACAUGGUGAAGCAAGCAGCAUGUGGGACUUGCUCGCCCAAGCUCUUCUUUCUCUGGUGCUGAAGGUAUACUCUAUACUAUAUAGACCCAAUGCUAAUUUGUAUAUAUCUCCUAGAGCAAUCUUAUGA